GACGAACGCUGGCGGCGUGCUUAACACAUGCAAGUCGAACGGAAAGGCCCUGCUUUUGUGGGGUGCUCGAGUGGCGAACGGGUGAGUAACACGUGAGUAACCUGCCCUUGACUUUGGGAUAACUUCAGGAAACUGGGGCUAAUACCGGAUAGGAGCUCCUGCUUCAUGGUGGGGGUUGGACAGUUUCGGCGGUUGGGGAUGGACUCGCGGCUUAUCAGCUUGUUGGUGGGGUAGUGGCUUACCAAGUCUUUGACGGGUAGCCGGCCUGAGGGGGUGACCGGCCACAUAGGGACUGAGAUACGGCCCGGACUCCGACGGGAGGCAGCAGUGGGAAUAUUGCACAAUGGGCGGAAGCCUGAUGCAGCAACGCCGCGUGCGGGAUGACGGCCUUCGGGUUGUAAACCGCUUUCGCCUGUGACGAAGCGUGAGUGACGGUAAUGGGUAAAGAAGCACCGGCUAACUACGUG
rnacentral:rRNA from 1 species